UCAAGAUUCGUUGAUGGAACCCAGAUGGAGAUGGAGAUGGAGAGAGCCAAGCUCGAGAACGAGCGGAAGAGGGCUGGAGAACGAGAGAAUGGUGCUUCUCAUCAGCCAGAAGGAGCUCCAAUUACUCGCUCUUCAACAGCAGCAGCAGCAACAUUCAUCCAACAAAAGGAGGAGCGGCGGCGGCGAUGAGGGUUGAAAGGAAAAACUCCGGAUCACGCAAUGCCUUCGCCCCCAAAUUCAAAAAUUGUUUCGAUUGUGUCUUUCGUCUGACCUCCGUGAUUGGGCCGACGUCCGGUGGCGCUGGCGGCGUGCGACCGGACCGGACGGCGGUUCUGCCACCAGGAAGAAAGCUCCGACCACCAACCCAACCAUGGCCGAUUCGAUUCGAAGGUGGAGACGCUGUGUGACUUGCUCGAUGGAGGUUUGAUAGCUUUGGACCCUAUUCUUACAAAAAGUUCGAGUCUUUCAACAUGGGCAUUGGGAAUUUGUCUGAUACCAGUGGAUACCUUUAAGCUUUUACUUCUAUUUCAACGACUGAAAAAAGGGCAUUAGCAAUCACGGUAUUUUCACUUUUUGUCUCGGUUAGUUCUCUGUUAUUGGGAUAUGCUUGGAGUUUUCCCUUUGUUCAAUACCUUUCUCUCUGCUUGGAUGCUUUUUCGUGUUUGAUAUAUCUAGGAGACUCAGGUGAUUUGUGUAGUUCCCUUCCUUUCCAUUCAGAUGUAAGUUCUUUGGCUGCACUUGAUGAUUGCGUGUAAGUUGACUUUGAGAAUUUAAAUUAGCUUGUGAAAAAGAUUCAUUAGCCUACUGUUGUUUGCACUUUUCAGCUAGAUCGAGAGUUAGAAUUCUAUAACUAAGACAGGCCAACGCAAGUUGGUUCUUUCUUGACACACAGAUCACCAACCACCAACCAAGAUAACUCAUGUUGGAUCAGUGAGAUGAGGUAUCGAAUGUUAAAGCUACUGCUAGAUUGUGUUUCCUGAGUAUAAAAUGCAGGUACCCGUGUAGUCUGCCUUCUGGUUUUUGGAGUGCUUUUGGUCUGGACUUUAUGCAGGAACAUUCACCAUAGUUUGGAUCCCUGACCUACAUAAUGCAAUACAAAGGGGAAACUGAUGUUUUGUUGCUAGCUAAACGUCUCUAAACCCUCAUCAUCAUAUUGAAAGCUAAUUUAUCAAUUCCCUAUGAUUGGCCACCAUUGUUCAAUUUUUUUAAAAGAUUUUUAAUCCUUGUACAGAUCUUCUGUCCAUCUUACUCUAAUAUUUGGUUCCAGUCCAUUCAUCAGUGAUUUUUCUAAUAUAUCUUGCCUCAUGCCGUCACAAUAUUCUAAAUCUCCUCUUUAAUACCUGUCUUUUUCUUUUUUUGUUUUAUCUCUGACUUUAUUGGGCAGCAAUCUGUUUUUAGAUAGAAGAUGGCAACCCCAGAUGAAAACAACGAUGUGAAAACUCUUGAAACACAGCCCAACAAGCGGAGCAAAAAGAAGUCCAUCAUCUGGGAACACUUCACAAUAGAAAUUGUGAGUCCUGGAUGUAGAAGGGCGUGCUGUAAGCAGUGCAAGCAAGUUUCACUUAUGGCACAGGCUCAAAGGCCGCUAGCACCAGCCAGCAAAGUAAGGUGUGAUGAAUCAUUGACCGAACUGAUUUUGUCUAGUGCAGAAAUUUCAGAAUUACCUAAAUCCAUUAGGGAUUUGAAAAAAUUGAAAUUUUGAAUAUUGUUUACUGCAAGAAAUUGAGUAGUUUA